AUACGUAGGUGGCAAGCGUUGUCCGGAAUUAUUGGGCGUAAAGCGCGCGCAGGUGGUUCCUUAAGUCUGAUGUGAAAGCCCCCGGCUCAACCGGGGAGGGUCAUUGGAAACUGGAGAACUUGAGUGCAGAAGAGGAUAGUGGAAUUCCAAGUGUAGCGGUGAAAUGCGUAGAGAUUUGGAGGAACACCAGUGGCGAAGGCGACUGUCUGGUCUGUAACUGACACUGAGGCGCGAAAGCGUGGGGAGCAAACAGGAUUAGAUACCCUGGUAGUCCACGCCGUAAACGAUGAGUGCUAAGUGUUGGGGGGUUUCCGCCCCUCAGUGCUGCAGCUAACGCAUUAAGCACUCCGCCUGGGGAGUACGGUCGCAAGACUGAAACUCAAAUGAAUUGACGGGG
rnacentral:rRNA from 1 species